CCUACGGGUGGCAGCAGUGAGGAAUAUUGGUCAAUGGUCGGGAGACUGAACCAGCCAAGCCGCGUGAGGGAUGAAGGCACUGAGUAUUGUAAACCUCUUUUGUCAGGGAACAAAGGCGGGGACGCUUCCCCUGAUGAGUGUACCUGAAGAAAAAGCAUCGGCUAACUCCGUGCCAGCAGCCGCGGUAAUAGGGAGGAUGCGAGGGUUAUCCGGAUUUUUUGGGUUUAAAGGGUGGGCAGGCGGUCUGUAAAGUCGAGGGUAAAAGCCCGGGGCCAAACCCCGGCCCGCCGUUGAAACUGGCAGUCUCGAGUUGGAGAGAAGUAUGCGGAAUGCGCGGUGUAGCGGUGAAAUGCAUAGAUAUCGCGCAGAACUCCGAUUGCGAAGGCAGCAUGCCGGCUCCACACUGACGCUGAGGCACGAAAGCGUGGGUAUCGAACAGGAUUAGAUAUCCCAGUAGUC
rnacentral:rRNA from 1 species